UCAGGUGAAUAUGAAGGAUGAGGCCAAACUUCAUAGUCCAAUUCAUUCAAUUUUUGAAGCAUUGGUUGUGUGACAUGAGGUUGGGCAUUAUCAUGGAGAAGAAUUAGGCCCUUUCUGUUGAUCAAUGCUGGCUACAGAAGUAGAAAUUUUCAG